UCUCCUCCUCCUCCCGUGCCGUUCGCCGCCCCGCCGUUCCUCCCGCAGCCUCGCUCCGCCGUUAGCCACAGAAGCCGCCCCGCCGCGCCCGAAGCCGCCUCCCGCAGCCGCCGCCAGCCGCCCCUGUGAGGAGGAGGCAUCCCGCACAAGAUUCGGCCAGCAGGUGUUCCCUCGCCCUAUCCCAUGACUGGGGAUGGACCAGGGAGGCGGUCGUCGCCCGUAUGGUUCACUCAACUCACGCCGCCGCGGAUCUGAGCCUCCUCAUCACGCCGUCGAUCUUGGGACCAGAAACUCCUUCACCUCGCGCGUGCAAGUAUGCCAUCGACCUGGUCUCGCCAAACCUCCUCUCCCGCCAGCCGUUAACCUCGCCUCGCCGCGGAUCUGAAGCAUCGUAUUCAUAUAUUCUUCUUCAGGCAGGUUAGUAUUCAAGAGGAGGCGAGGAACUUUCGGCUGUUGAUGGAUGUACGGCAAUGAGACCACUCAAAUUCAAGAGCUGGCGGGGAACUUUGGGCCAUUGAUGGAUGUACUUGUCAGCAAGGGUGUUGGAUCCUCAUUGCUUAACAAACCUAUGAGAAUUAAGAGAAUUGUUCAAGCAUCAUCUGCCACUGCUGAAAGAUCUUUAACUGUUAAGGUAAGAACAACUUUCUUUGAAGGAAGAAACUGUGUUGAUUCGUUAGUUUCAGACAUUUAUGACUCGGGUGCUUCAGCCAUAACAAUACAUGGUCGAUCACAGCAACAAUGCUACAGCAAAUUUGCCGGUUUUGACUAUACUAACCAGUGUGCAUAGAAGGCCCCUGACGAUCCGCAUGUCAUGGGAAAUGGUGAUAUAUUCUCCUUUAUAAAGAAAGCAAGAAGAACUGCCAGCUUAAUCAGGAAAUACGAAAUCUAGGCGUUACAGAAAAUUAUCAGCUAUUAUCAAGCAUUUAUCUGCUCCCAUUGUUUUGCGCAGCCUAUGGAAAGGAAGAUUCCCAACAGUGGUCAGGGGAACAAGCCUUGGAUAUUUACUGAGAUAAAAGAACAAAGGGACUUGGAUAUUUACUGAGAUAAAAGAACAAAGGGACUGGGAUAUCACAUUUGGUGAGAGAUUGAGUAUUCUGAAAGAUUUAACGUGCUUCUGUCUGAACACUAGGGCUCUGCUGACAUCAAAGGAAGAAGCUUUUGACUUGUUGAAGACAGAAGGUCUAGCAUACCUCACCUUGAUGUUGAAUAUGCGUUUAAUGGACAUUAACAAGCGUUGGAUAUAAACUACUUUUGCUUUCUUGGCGGCGGCUCUCGGAGGGAAGGAGCAACAUGUUGUGAACAUUGUUAUCUUGAAGACAUAACUUUCUGUUGGUUAGCUCACAUUGUUUGAUAAAGAAAUAGUCAAAUGUCGUUUAUGUUGCAUGAGCUUUUUUAGCGGAGCUGAUGCAUUCUGAGGAUUUCUGAAGGCUUUGGAGUUGCUAAUUUGAAUAGCCCGUAUGGUUAAUGGAAGCUCAUGUUUGUGUCAUCCAUUGCGGUUAAUUAUAGCAAACGUGUGUGGCUGGGUUUUGAAUUCAGCCUAAGAGCGUGUCCCCCUUACUACUCGCCCCCAGCUGUCAUUGCAAUCUGGUGUAGUUUGGGUUUGUAUCCUUGUAAGACCGAUGUUUUCAUGUUACUUUUUGUUGGUUCGAUUUUUGUGGCGUUAGAACCCUUC